UUCUUCUUUUGUCGUUUGUUUUCGUCUGUAGUCGGACCCUGCUCUUACUCUUGAUGAUUAUGUAAUGUACUGAUGUGACUCUGAUGUAGCUUGUGGCGAGUGUAAGCCUACUCUUUAUAUAUCUCUCCUUUUCAGUACAUGUACUUGUAACGAUAUCCAUUCUUGCGACACGACGAGAUGCGCUUCUAUCCCUGACGAGGCCCCCGUGCCAAAUUGAGGAUAGGGUCGCAUCUUGGGCGUGGCAUAUAUGGUAUCAGGCUGAUGGCAUGCUAACACAUCUAAUAAAGGAAGAGAACAUAGUUGUUGGUCGAAGCCUGACUCGACGGGGCAUGCUGACGCACCAAAUAAAAGAAGGAGAACAUAGUUGUUGGUGGGAAAUCUGGAAGGUCAACAUUCCCUCCAAAUUGAAAGUAUUCGAAAGAUGUUAGCGCAAUGCGUGUUGCCCAUCAAUUACGUUAGAAACCAUAGAAAUAUGUCGACAAUGUCCUGUUGUCACUAGUGGGGACAGGGCCUAUAGUCCCAGCCCGUAAGGGGCUUUAGUCCCGGUUCACCAACCGGGACAAAAGAGGCGGGACUAAAGGCCAUGCCUUUUAAUCACGGGUCUUAACACGGACCGGGACUAAAGGAUCCGUCUGUUUACUUUGUUUGUUUGACCCGAAAAUGUACCUUUAUUUAUUUAUUUUUCAAAUUUUAUUUUUGAAUAUUCUUUGAUUUGUUUUUAUGUUUUAUUUCAAUUUUUCAAUCUUUGAUUUAUUUGACAAUUUAAUCUCUAAUCACCCAUCCUCACCCCAUCCUUUCACUGCUUCAGCCCGAGCACGUUUAACUUCAUGGUUCUAUCGCCCCUAGUUGCCAAGUCUGCACUUGUUGUUCUCCUGACAACAGUAAGCUUUCAAUCCUAAACAACCUAGGGUUUGAUGUCAUGUCACAUGAUUUAAUUUUUUGAAUUCAAACAAUUAUUAAAAUAAACAAAAUAAGUAAUAAUAAUAGUGAAUUUCAAUGAAAACAACCUAAAGAUUUUAAAUAAAAUUAUUUUUUCUUACUUUUGUGGAAAAAACUUCUUUUUGCCAUAACUUUUUUUACAUUUGGAAUUUUGAGCAUCUGAGAAAACUUCACUGGGCAAGCCCCGGUGAAAUCUAAGAAAACUUCAAUAUGCACCAUACUAUAACAUGUUAAAAUCUACAGAAAGUACUAACUAAAAAUAAUAAAAAACAACAAUUAAAUGACUAAAACAACUAUAUAAGCAAAACAAUAUUGUUUUAAUUAAAAUACAAAUUUAAAUUAUUGUAAAAAUAACCAAAUAAAUCUUACUGUGAUAACAAUCUAACAGAUGACUAGGAUAAAAAAGAAUUAAAUUAAAAACUAUUUGUAAACUCAAGUUAUUCACAAUUUGGGUUUGAAGCAAAUUUGAACAAAUUCAAAUUUAAACCAUUCAAAUUUAAAAACUAAUUGCACAAAGAAAAACUAGACAAAAAUUUGAAUCUAAUGCAAAAAUAAUCACUAAAAAAAUUAAAUAUCCUAAAAGAUAUAAGCAAUUUAAAACAGAAACUACAAACAGAAACAAAAUUUAAAAACAGGAAAAAAUAAAAAUACAAAACCCCUUUAGUCCCGGUUCGUGUCUCGAACCGGGACUAAAGGUCUACCCUUUAGUCCCGGUUCAAGACACGAACUAGGACUGAAGCCUCCAAAUCCUUUAGUCCCGGUUCGAGACACGAACUGGGACUAAAGGUCCCUUUUGAACCGGGACUAAUGACCGACCGGUGCCCUUGCCGUUCGAACCGGGACAAAUGUGUAAAUUAAGCUGGGACGGAAGCCCCUUUUUCUACUAGUGUGUGCAGUAUGUUGCGCGACUCGUGGAUGCACCCUCUGUUGCUAUGUACAAUAGCACGCUGCGUAUGGGCAUUUUCCGAUUCAGAAGUAGUUGAGCAUAUGUUGGCAAACCAACACAAGGAACCGGAACUUCUCCAUGAUGGGCUCAAUAUCGCAUGUCCAUUUCACCUAGUUUGUUGUGACCCUCUGGGCUAUUUGGUCUGCUAGACGGAAAUGUACUUAUACACGAAGGAGAACAUCUAAGUCCAAUGGCAACACAUAUGUUCGUAAUGAGUUUUUUGGCAUAUCUUGAUGUAGCAAUGCCAUCAAUUGCUCACCUCCAGGAUGCUAGACCAUCCCCUGCUCAGCUCGUGAAGUGGAUUCCUCCACUAAUCGGGGUAGUAAAGAUCAAUGUUGAUGGAGUUAUCAACAGGGACAACCAUAUUGGUGCCUUUAGUUCUAUAUGUAUGUGAUGAUACCGUCUUAUAUCUUGGUUAUCCGCUCUUGUAUUCCACGGAAUGAUAAAUCCCACUACUCUCAAAGCUCUGUCUUGUCGUGAGGCACUCUCCCUUCCAAAUGAUCUUCUGGUUCAGGGUUUAAAGGUAGCAUCUGAUUGCAAAGAUAUUGUUACGGAUAUUAAUAAUGGCACACACUUGGAGUUAUUGGAACGGUGGUGACGGACAUCACAGAAACAAUGAAGAAUGUUGUCUCUAUUUCUUUUGUCCAUGAAGAUCCUCUUUCCAAUACAAAGGCGCGCCAUUUAGUCAAAUAUGCCUUACAGUUGGGAGAGGGCCGCCACCUAUGAUAAUAAACCCAUUUGAUUCGUCAGUUAUUCCUGUAAACCAUAUUAUUGAGCAAUGCAACAAAACAUGGUUAUCCCUAUUAAAAAGACCGUUUUUACGGUACUCUAUACCGCUGACAGGGAAGGGGGCAGUAUAUUAAAAUCGGACCACUCAUUUUCUGAGGGUAAGAUUGACAUAUAUUUGUUGUUACGGGAAACUUUAGCUACGUUGUCAGUCGGCUGAUAAUGGCGUCCGGAAACAGAUUUGUUGUCCCACGACUCCCACGACCUCCGGCUCGGUCUCGUCUUCCUCGUUCCACACCGGCCUGAGGACCACCGCUCUCCGUCUCCACUGCAUCCCCAGCCAUGUCGUCAUGUCCAUCAAAGCCGUCGUGAGCUGCUAAUCAUCCCACUUCCUUUCCUGUCGUUUUUGUCCACCGUAUCAUCGUGUCACCCAAGCCGGCGCCCUGUCUGCCAUGGACGAGUCCCUGGAGCUCGUCCCGCUCCCGCAAGCCCAGAGACCCAACCACGCGCGUGCCUGUUCACGCAGCAUGCCCACAACAACAGCCGCGGCGCACGCCCCACAGGCACAGCCCUGCAGUGACAGCUCCCAACUCCCGCAGCCUCGCGGCGGUCAGCGAUCAACACUAUCCUAGAGGGCAUGCCAUGGC
rnacentral:lncRNA from 1 species